CGUAGCGGCCCGACCUCUGCCGCAGGAUGUUCAAGAAGAAAACGAACAUGUUCUUCUCCAGGAAGAAGCUGCAGGAGGAACGGGACAGCGUCAGCGGUCGGCUUCUGAGGGGGCCGCGCCUCCACACCGGCCUCUGCGGGCGCCCCCCACGCGUGCGCCCCCCACUAAGGCCUUGGCUUCCGCGCUCCCCGGCUCCCGCGGCGCCACCCUCCACCCAGCAAGACACCGUCCAGCUGCUCCUCCGGGAAGGGGAGAUGCUGACUCCGGGAAGCAGGGCACCGCUAGCCUUCGGCGGGGUGGCAGAGGUCUCCCCGACGCAAUGACUGCCCCAUGCCCUAUCUACGCCCACGGACCCCACUCGCAGCAUUUUCCACCCACUAUGUACAAACUUCGUCUUCCUCACGAAGCCUCUUUGCUUUGCUUUCAGUUUUGAGGGUUCUCCACCAACUUGGGAACCAGAAUAAUUUCCUACAAAGGGACAAGACGAUGAACAGUAACAAGGGUUUGGGUUCCUAAAACGCUCCCUGGAGGCAGGAAGACGGGCCCAGCUCUGGCUCAGUGCUGCAUCCCUCCUGUCUGAAUCACGACAGGGCUGUGUGACUCACUGACUCCCAAUGGGCUCACUGCAGCCCAGUGACCAACCUGGGAACUUGCUGAAAUGGCUGUACCUACAUCUUGCCCAGGGAUGGGUUCCGUGGGUCUGGUGGGAAAUCCAGGAGCCUGGAUUUCUGAGACUCCCUAGGGGAGUGAGGGGCUCCUUGGAAGAGUGGCUGCUUCUUGGGCUGGAGCACCUUAUGGCAGCAGAAAGUUAGGACAUGCUCAAAACCCACAAGGAUGGGCCUGUGUCAAAGGGACCCAGGAAGCAACCUGAAAGAGCUCCCAAUGCCUUCAAAGCUGCAACAACGCCUGCCACAGAUAACGCAGUAUAGGAUUACGAUCCAAACUGUAAAAUAAAUACCCACGAGUCGA